GCAAACUUGGUCAUUUAGAGGAAGUAAAAGUCGUAACAAGGUUUCCGUAGGUGAACCUGCGGAAGGAUCAUUAUUGAAAAAGCUUUGGCUUACUUUGAUGACACUUAAACCCCCAUUAACAAAAAACUUAUUAGUUUUUGUUAAUGGAUUUUAUUACAAAACUCUUGUAAUUGAGCUGUGUCUGUCUGAAAAAAAAAAAAAAAAAUCUUAAAACUUUCAACAACGGAUCUCUUGGCUCCUGCAUCGAUGAAGAACGCAGC
rnacentral:misc_RNA from 1 species